AAGCAUCUAAGCGGGAAGCCAACCCCAAAACAAGAUCUCUCUUUUCCCUUCGGGGAAACAGUAGACUCCUUGAAGACUACAAGGUCGAUAGGCCGGGUGUGUAAGCGCAGUAAUGUGUUCAGCUAACCGGUACUAAUCAGUCGUGAGGCUUGACCUUUAAAUUUUCGGG
rnacentral:rRNA from 1 species